UUAGUGGAAGCGUCUGGAAAGGCGCGCGAUACAGGGUGACAGCCCCGUACACAAAAGCGCAUGUGCUGUGAGCUCGAUGAGUAGGGCGGGACACGUGGUAUCCUGUCUGAAUAUGGGGGGACCAUCCUCCAAGGCUAAAUACUCCUGACUGACCGAUAGUGAACCAGUACCGUGAGGGAAAGGCGAAAAGAACCCCGGCGAGGGGAGUGAAAAAGAACCUGAAACCGUGUACGUACAAGCAGUGGGAGCACAGGUUUACCUGUGUGACUGCGUACCUUUUGUAUAAUGGGUCAGCGACUUAUAUUCUGUAGCAAGGUUAACCGAAUAGGGGAGCCGGAGGGAAACCGAGUCUUAAYYGGGCGUUAAGUUGCAGGGUAUAGACCCGAAACCCGGUGAUCUAGCCAUGGGCAGGUUGAAGGUUGGGUAACACUAACUGGAGGACCGAACCGACUAAUGUUGAAAAAUUAGCGGAUGACCUGUGGCUGGGGGUGAAAGGCCAAUCAAACCGGGAGAUAGCUGGUUCUCCCCGAAAGCUAUUUAGGUAGCGCCUCGUGAAUUCAUCUCCGGGGGUAGAGCACUGUUUCGGCUAGGGGGCCAUCCCGGCUUACCAACCCGAUGCAAACUGCGAAUACCGGAGAAUGUUAUCACGGGAGACACACGGCGGGUGCUAACGUCCGUCGUGAAGAGGGAAACAACCCAGACCGCCAGCUAAGGUCCCAAAGUCAUGGUUAAGUGGGAAACGAUGUGGGAAGGCCCAGACAGCCAGGAUGUUGGCUUAGAAGCAGCCAUCAUUUAAAGAAAGCGUAAUAGCUCACUGGUCGAGUCGGCCUGCGCGGAAGAUGUAACGGGGCUAAACCAUGCACCGAAGCUGCGGCAGCGA
rnacentral:rRNA from 1 species